GGUGGGACCUGCGGGGACGGCGCGAAGCGGAGCGGCGAGCGGCUGCAGCUCCCCUGGUGCUGCCCGCGGGGUUGGCGCCGGGAAACAGCCGGCGGGGCGGCGCGGGGGCUCUUCCCGCCUUGGCUGCGGCGGCGGCCCUGCGCUGAGGGGCCGCGCUCCCCCUCGGCUGAGGCGGGCCCGGCUCAAGGCUCGGGUCUCGCUCUGCUUCAGCGAACCCUUGAGGAGGGAACCCGCGGGUGCGCA